ensembl:lncRNA
GAGCACUGACUGCUCUUCUAGAGGUCCUGAGUUCAAUUCCCAGCAACCACAUGGUGGCUCACAACCAUCUGUAAUGAGAUCUGAUGCCCUCUUCUGGUGUGUCUGAAGACAGCGACAGUGUCCUCAUAUGCAUAAAAUAAAUUUUAAAAAAGAUAAGGUAGAGAGAAAUGAAGGACAAAGUGUCCUAUGUUGGUUACAAUACUGCAUGAAAAUGAGCGUAUGCAUGGGACAUAGACAGGACAAAGAAAACACACCAAGGUUUCACACACAGUAAGUGAGCAGUACACAAACUGGGCAAGAGGACCAGAAAGAGGGCAGUGAGUAAUGGUGCUUGCUGCCAACCCCGAGUCCCAGGCCCCACGUGGUAAAAGGAGAAAAACAACCAUUGCAAGUUGUCGUCGGACCUCCAUAUGUGCACUGGGGCACGUGUACAGACAGGCGUGUGUGUGAACACAAUUAUAAAACGGCUUUAAAAAUGGGCAAUGUGACUGACUUAAGAUACUGAAUGCUCAAAUAUUUGUUCCUAGCUAUCUUGUUGGUAUUUGUGGACAGUAGGAACUCUGAUCCUUGUGAUUAAUUCCGUUACUGGACAUACGCCAAGAAGAUCUCCCCUACGGUAGAUUUCUCCAGAACCUCCAAGUUAUCUUUAUCCAUAGCUUAAGGAGGUGUGCCGGGGCAGUAAGGACCUAGGCCAUCAGGUCCUAGGACCUCUGGCCCUCUGGGUCAAGUCCAUUCCCACCCCGCCACUAACUGGAGCUCCCCUGUAGGAGGAAACUUCUACAAACCUCCCAAGUUACUUCCCAUUUCUUGAGGAGGCCCAUUGGUGUGCCUGGCCAGUGGGAACCUAGACCAUCAGCUCCGAAGACCGCUGACGCUCUUGGUCAGGUUUACUACAGGCUUCCCCACACCCAUUGGAACUCCCCUGCCGGAGACUUCUUCAAGCCCCCCACCCCCCACCAAGUUCCUCCCCCUAUUUCUUGAGGUGAGUUAGACACUUGGCUUAUUUUUUGUCCUGUGGUCCUGUGGUCCUCUAGCCCUUUCUGGAAGGGUAAAGGCCUGAGUGGGGUCUGAAGCAGCCUUAGAUGGAGGAUGCUCAUGGGUAACAUGUUUUACCUGGAAAGGGAACAGCCCAUCACAGGUGGGUCCCCUGGGAAAGAGUUACAGGCAGGCCUGAGCCACUGGGUGGGUGCUCGGAACAAAACCUAGGUCCCCUGCAAGAGCAGCCAUUGGUCUUAACUGCUGAGCCAUCUCACCAGCUCUCCCCAGUAUCCUUUCUUUCUUUCUUUUUUUUUUUCCAGAGCUGGGGACUGAACCCAGGGCCUUGCACUUGCUAGGCAAGUGCUCUACCACUAAGCUAGAUCCCUAAUCCACCCAGUAUCCUUUCUUAAGAUCCUUCAUUUUUCUCUCAGGAGGCUCACUGGUGUGCUCAGUCAAUAAGGACCUCAGUGUUCAGGUCCCAACUGCUCUGAGCCUCUAGGUUCAGACCCUCACUGCCCCUUGCACCUACUAGCACUCCCCUGCAGCAGGAGACUUCUCCAAGCUUCACAGGUUACUCUCUCCAUUUCUUGAAGUCCUCUAGACCCGUGGCUUAUUUUCUUUCCUUGCAGCCCCCUUUUUCUAGAGACCUUGAAAUGUCCAAAGAUGUUGCAGGUGACAUGAUAAAGUGCUUACUGUAGGGGACCUGAAGGAAACUUGUAAGACGGUUAUAGCGUCACAGAUCCUACCCAUGAGAGGAUUGCUUCAUGGCACGCAGGGUCACAUGGAAGUCCCAGAUUGCAAAAACUGGCAGAAGACGGGACCGGAAGCCAAAAGCAGCAUAUCCUAUUGUAGGCUGUAAUCUCUACCCUCAAGGGCUCAGAGAACUGAUUGUCAGGUAGAAGCCAGCCUGGACAGUCCAGGCUGUACCAGCCUCUAAAAAUGUGAAAGAGGAGGCUGAGGACCUGAUCCCAUGGGCAAACAGGAGGCUGAGGAUAGGAUUCCUUGGGCAAACAAGCCUAGGGACCCAAGUCUGCAUCCCGAGAGGGUACAUAAAGCUGAGGAGGUAGCACACGCCCAGCUCCUCUAUGGCAGGAUGCCAGGCAGAAACAGGCUAUCCGCAAGCUUUCAGUUCGUCCAAACUGGUGAACACAGCAGAGAAACAGAGACCCAACAGAAGGGAAGGUGGAAGGUGAGGACCAGCACCAGGGAGUUGUGAUCCCCCACACUCAUGGCAUGAUACGUGACCCCCAACUCAGCACAGGCACAAAGAAUAAAAAGAUGAACACAGUCCGAGGGGAGCCUUUAAAUGGCACUUCAGAGCCUCACAUAGCCAUAUAGGGUGGUCAAGAACCCACUGUGUGGCCACGGAUGAGUCUUGAACUCUAGAUCCAGCUGCCUUCCCUUCUGGCAGCUAAGAUUACAGGCCUACUAUGUGCCCUCCAUGCAGUGUUGGGCUAGGCUACACUGCACCAAGUUUAUCCAACAGCUUUCCUUUAAAACGGUUUUGUAUUACAUUGAUUGUGUGUGCCCAGGCACACACUGUGCGUCACCUCAGUAGAUCCGAGAACAACUCGUAGUUGUCAGUUCUUUCCUGUUGCCUCAAGGGCUUGGGUCUGGGUGAUUCAUUUAAGUGGUUACACUGCUACAAAAGACCUCAUCUGAGCCAUCUCAUCAUCUCCAAGCACAAAUACACUUUCUCAAUUACAGUCUCACAGUUUUGUUCCAUGGAGGCUCAUUGGUGUGCUUGGCCAGUAGGGACGCAGGUCAGCAGGGCCCAGGACUCUGAUCCCUUGGGUCAGGUCCAUGACUGACCUCACUGGCCUCCCAGCAGGAGGAGCUCCCCUGUGGGAAAAGGAUUCUCCAAGCCUCGCAAGUCACUUCCUUAUCUCGUGAGGUAAAUUAGACAUACUGCUCAUCUUUUAUCCCAUACCCUCUCAAUCCCUUUCCUAGGAGCCAGUAGGGUAUUAAGACUGCUGAUGUCAGAGGUGAGAUGGUAAAGGCUUUACAGCCACAGGCGUGGACCAGAAGGAGGCCUGCCACAAAGAUGAUUAUGCAGUGACAGGUCUCACUCCAACUGGGCAGAGUUAAAGGGAGAUCUGAUUGGACAAAGUGGUAGAAGAAAAGACUGAAGGCCAACAGCAGUCCAGAUGCUUAGGCAGGAGGCCCCCUUAGGAGAACCAGGAAGUGCUAGCCUGGAUUCUCAAAAAGAGGGAAGAAAGAACACGGGGGAGACAGUUUGAUGGCCAAAGUGCUUGCCAACAGGUGUGAGCCAUGGUUCAAGUCCCAAGAAAAUGGGGAAUACCUGCACCCCUAGCUCCCUCAUAAUAGAGGGACAACAGAAAUCGAGGAGACUAUCUAGAAUCAGGUAGCCUUGCCUACACAGCAGAGAACAAGAGAUUUUAUGUCAAAAAAGGGGGACAAUGAGGACCAAUUACUUGAGGUUGACGUGAACCUACACAUACCUCCCUCCACUUACUCUUGUAUGUAUGUAUGUAUGUAUGUAUGUAUGUAUGUAUGUAUGUAUGUAUGUAUACUGCAGCUGUCUUCAGACACUAGAAGAGGACAUCAGAUCCCAUUAUGGUUGCUGGGAAUUGAACUCAGGACCUCUGGAAGAGCAGUCAGUGCUCUUAACCACCGAGCCAUCUCUCCAGCCCUCAUCAGAUUUUUAUGGAGAGUGUUUAAUGGAAUUUCACAUAGGAUGGCUGGAAUCUCAGUUUGUCACUAGGCCGAUAUUGAACCCAGAUCCAGGUUCUCCCAGUUUCAGGAAUGCUAAGAUGAUAGGCUCGAUCUAACUUGUGUCCUUUAUAUUUAAUGUUGGGGAGAGGACUCAUGACUCCAUUAUAAGCUAACACUGAACCCACUGCAUCUAUUCCCCACUUAACAUCAAUUAUUAAACACAUUUUAUUUCAUUUAUUAUCCUGCGCAUGCACAGCUGUGUGUACACCACGACUUUCAGGAGGCCGUUCUCUUCUAUGUGGAUCUGGAAAUUCAAACUCAGAACUAGCAUGGGGGUCUGAGUCUCUAAAGCCAAGGAAGCUCUGGCACAGGAUUUGUUAGAAUGAGGUCAGCUGAGGAAACACGUUCCAGGCUAGCCUGAACUCUCAAAAAGAGGGUUGGGUGAGCUCUGGGCAUGGCUCAGUGGACAAAGUGCUUGCCAACAAGUAUCAGCCUGGGUCCAAGUCCCAAGAAGACCUGUUAAAAACCCAAUAUGGAACACCCAUCUCGAAACUGGCAACAGCAUUUACCCUGGCCCAUGACGAAGCCAUGAAGAAACACUGCAUCAAAAAUGGUGGAUAAUAAAAACAGCUAGCUACCUGAGGAUGACCUGUGUCCUACAAAAUGUGUACUAUGGCUCACACCACCUUACUGUACAACACACACACACACACACACACACACACACACACACACUGUUGAUUUUGUUUGUUUUACUUUUCAAGACAGAGUUUCUCUGUGUGCCCUAGGCUGUCCUGGAACUCACAGAGAUCUGCCUGCCUCUGCUUCCUGAGUACUGGG